rnacentral:rRNA from 1 species
GCCUGCCCACUGAGGGUAUUUAAAGGCCGCGGUAUCAUGACCGUGCGAAGGUAGCAUAAUCAUUAGUCUUUUAAUUGGGGGCUGGUAUGAAGGGUCGGACGAGAAAUGAGCUGUCUUAAAUUUUGAAAAUUGAAUUUAACUUUUAAGUGAGAAGGCUUAAAUAGGCUAGGGGGACGAUAAGACCCUAUAAAGUUUGACAUUAAAUUAAUUAAGGGUAAUUUAGAUUAUAAAGUCUUAUUAUUAUAUAAGUGUUUAGUUGGGGCGACUAGGGUAUAAGUUAUUUAACUGUUUCUUCAUUCGAAUCAAAAAUUUUUGAUUUUAUGAUCCUUUUUAAGGGUACUAGAGUAAAUUACUUUAGGGAUAACAGCGUAAUUUUUUUUGAGAGUUCUUAUCGAUAAAAGAGUUUGCGACCUCGAUGUUGAAUUAAAAUUUCUUUGUAAUGCAGCAGUUACAAGAGAGGGUCUGUUCCACCUUUAAAUUUUUACAUGAUUUGAGUU